rnacentral:rRNA from 1 species
UACGGAGGGUGCAAGCGUUAUCCGGAUUCACUGGGUUUAAAGGGUGCGUAGGUGGGCUGAUAAGUCAGCGGUGAAAUCUCUAGGCUUAACCUGGAAACUGCCAUUGAUACUAUCGGUCUUGAAUCUCGCGUAGGUAAGCGGAAUAUGUCAUGUAGCGGUGAAAUGCUUAGAUAUGACAUAGAACACCAAUUGCGAAGGCAGCUUACUUCACGAGCAUUGACACUGAGGCACGAAAGCGUGGGGAGCAAACAGG